rnacentral:rRNA from 1 species
GAUGAAUGCUAGCGGCAGGCUUAAUACAUGCAAGUCGAGGGGCAGCAGGUCCCGCAGCAAUGCGGGAUGCUGGCGACCGGCAAACGGGUGCGGAACACGUACAGAACCUUCCUUUAAGUGGGGAAUAGCCCGGGGAAACCCGGAUUAAUACCCCGUAACAUAAUGAAGUGGCAUCACUUUAUUAUUAUAGCAGCAAUGCGCUUGAAGAUGGCUGUGCGGCUGAUUAGGUAGUUGGCGGGGUAACGGCCCACCAAGCCUACGAUCAGUAACUGGUGUGAGAGCACGACCAGUCAAACGGGCACUGAGACACGGGCCCGACUCCUACGGGAGGCAGCAGUAAGGGAUAUUGGGCAAUGGACGCAAGUCUGACCCAGCCAUGCCGCGUGGAGGAUGAAGGUCCUCUGGAUUGUAAACUUCUUUUAUCUGGGAAGAAAUCUAUUUUUUCUAAAGUAGUUGACGGUACCAGAUGAAUAAGCACCGGCUAACUCCGUGCCAGCAGCCGCCGUAA